rnacentral:rRNA from 1 species
AGCGCAUACGGUGGAUGCCUUGGCAGUCAGAGGCGAUGAAAGACGUGGUAGCCUGCGAAAAGCUUCGGGGAGUCGGCAAACAGACUGUGAUCCGGAGAUGUCUGAAUGGGGGAACCCAGCCAUCACAAGAUGGUUAUCUUACACUGAAUACAUAGGUGUAAGAGGCGAACCAGGGGAACUGAAACAUCUAAGUACCCUGAGGAAAAGAAAUCAACCGAGAUUCCCUUAGUAGUGGCGAGCGAACGGGGACCAGCCCUUAAGUUGUAUUGAGAUUAGCGGAACGCUCUGGAAAGUGCGGCCAUAGUGGGUGAUAGCCCUGUACGCGAAAAUCCCUUUGCAAUGAAAUCGAGUAGGACGGGGCACGAGAAACCUUGUCUGAAUAUGGGGGGACCAUCCUCCAAGGCUAAAUACUACUGACUGACCGAUAGUGAACCAGUACCGUGAGGGAAAGGCGAAAAGAACCGCGGAGAGCGGAGUGAAAUAGAUCCUGAAACCGUAUGCGUACAAGCAGUGGGAGCCCACUUUGUUGGGUGACUGCGUACCUUUUGUAUAAUGGGUCAGCGACUUAUUUUCAGUGGCGAGCUUAACCGAAUAGGGGAGGCGUAGCGAAAGCGAGUCUUAAUAGGGCGUCUAGUCGCUGGGAAUAGACCCGAAACCGGGCGAUCUAUCCAUGGGCAGGUUGAAGGUUGGGUAACACUAACUGGAGGACCGAACCGACUACCGUUGAAAAGUUAGCGGAUGACCUGUGGAUCGGAGUGAAAGGCUAAUCAAGCUCGGAGAUAGCUGGUUCUCCUCGAAAGCUAUUUAGGUAGCGCCUCAUGUAUCACUGUAGGGGGUAGAGCACUGUUUCGGCUAGGGGGUCAUCCCGACUUACCAAACCGAUGCAAACUCCGAAUACCUACAAGUGCCGAGCAUGGGAGACACACGGCGGGUGCUAACGUCCGUCGUGAAAAGGGAAACAACCCAGACCGUCAGCUAAGGUCCCAAAGUCAUGGUUAAGUGGGAAACGAUGUGGGAAGGCUUAGACAGCUAGGAGGUUGGCUUAGAAGCAGCCACCCUUUAAAGAAAGCGUAAUAGCUCACUAGUCGAGUCGGCCUGCGCGGAAGAUGUAACGGGGCUCAAACCAUGCACCGAAGCUACGGGUAUCAUCUUAUGAUGAUGCGGUAGAGGAGCGUUCUGUAAGCCUGUGAAGGUGAGUUGAGAAGCUUGCUGGAGGUAUCAGAAGUGCGAAUGCUGACAUGAGUAACGACAAUGGGUGUGAAAAACACCCACGCCGAAAGACCAAGGUUUCCUGCGCAACGUUAAUCGACGCAGGGUUAGUCGGUCCCUAAGGCGAGGCUGAAAAGCGUAGUCGAUGGAAAACAGGUUAAUAUUCCUGUACUUCUGGUUAUUGCGAUGGAGGGACGGAGAAGGCUAGGCCAGCCUGGCGUUGGUAGUCCAGGUUUAAGGUGGUAGGCUGAGAUCUUAGGUAAAUCCGGGAUCUUAAGGCCGAGAGCUGAUGACGAGUGUUCUUUUAGAACAUGAAGUGGUUGAUGCCAUGCUUCCAAGAAAAGCUUCUAAGCUUCAGGUAACCAGGAACCGUACCCCAAACCGACACAGGUGGUUGGGUAGAGAAUACCAAGGCGCUUGAGAGAACUCGGGUGAAGGAACUAGGCAAAAUGGCACCGUAACUUCGGGAGAAGGUGCGCCGGUGAGGGUGAAGCAUUUACUGCGUAAGCCCACGCCGGUCGAAGAUACCAGGCCGCUGCGACUGUUUAUUAAAAACACAGCACUCUGCAAACACGAAAGUGGACGUAUAGGGUGUGACGCCUGCCCGGUGCCGGAAGGUUAAUUGAUGGGGUUAGCGCAAGCGAAGCUCUUGAUCGAAGCCCCGGUAAACGGCGGCCGUAACUAUAACGGUCCUAAGGUAGCGAAAUUCCUUGUCGGGUAAGUUCCGACCUGCACGAAUGGCGUAACGAUGGCGGCGCUGUCUCCACCCGAGACUCAGUGAAAUUGAAAUCGCUGUGAAGAUGCAGUGUAUCCGCGGCUAGACGGAAAGACCCCGUGAACCUUUACUAUAGCUUUGCACUGGACUUUGAAUUUGCUUGUGUAGGAUAGGUGGGAGGCUUUGAAGCGUGGACGCCAGUCUGCGUGGAGCCAACCUUGAAAUACCACCCUGGCAACUUUGAGGUUCUAACUCAGGUCCGUUAUCCGGAUCGAGGACAGUGUAUGGUGGGUAGUUUGACUGGGGCGGUCUCCUCCUAAAGAGUAACGGAGGAGUACGAAGGUGCGCUCAGACCGGUCGGAAAUCGGUCGUAGAGUAUAAAGGCAAAAGCGCGCUUGACUGCGAGACAGACACGUCGAGCAGGUACGAAAGUAGGUCUUAGUGAUCCGGUGGUUCUGUAUGGAAGGGCCAUCGCUCAACGGAUAAAAGGUACUCCGGGGAUAACAGGCUGAUACCGCCCAAGAGUUCAUAUCGACGGCGGUGUUUGGCACCUCGAUGUCGGCUCAUCACAUCCUGGGGCUGAAGCCGGUCCCAAGGGUAUGGCUGUUCGCCAUUUAAAGUGGUACGCGAGCUGGGUUUAGAACGUCGUGAGACAGUUCGGUCCCUAUCUGCCGUGGACGUUUGAGAUUUGAGAGGGGCUGCUCCUAGUACGAGAGGACCGGAGUGGACGAACCUCUGGUGUUCCGGUUGUCACGCCAGUGGCAUUGCCGGGUAGCUAUGUUCGGAAAAGAUAACCGCUGAAAGCAUCUAAGCGGGAAACUUGCCUCAAGAUGAGAUCUCACUGGAACCUUGA